rnacentral:rRNA from 1 species
UACGGAGGGUGCAAGCGUUAUCCGGAUUUACUGGGUUUAAAGGGUGCGCAGGCGGUUCUGCAAGUCAGGCGUGAAAGCCCCGGGCUUAACCUGGGAAUGGCGCUUGAAACUACAGGACUGGAGUAUGGCAGAGGUAAGUGGAAUUCCGCGUGUAGUGGUGAAAUGCGUAGAGAUGCGGAGGAACACCAGUGGCGAAAGCGACUUUCUGGUCCUUAACUGACGCUGAGGCGCGAAAGCAUGGGGAGCGAACGGG